rnacentral:lncRNA from 1 species
UUAGAGGCAUAACCGCAUAGUGGUUUUGUCGCAAGAAGGGUCAUCUUCACACAAUCCCAUGUAAUGAACAAGAAUGGGAUAAAGAGUUGGCUUACAAUCGCCACUUCACACAAUACAUGAAUAUAAUUCAUACAUCAUCGAAAAUACAAUCAUAUAUAGACCGACUACGGUCAAGAUCCAGAUGAAAAUAAGACGACCCCAAAUGCUAGAUCCCCGAUCGUCCCAACUGGGCUCCACUACUGAUCAUCAGGAAAAGACACAUAGUAACGACCACGUUCCUCGUCGAACUCCCACUUGAGAUCGACCCCAUCAUCUGCACUAGCAUCGUCGGCACCUGCAACUGUUUUGGUAGAAUCUGUGAGUCACGGGGACUCAGCAAUCUCACACCCGCGAGAUCAAGACUAUUUAAGCUUAUAGGAAAGGAUGGUGAAAUGAGGUGGAGCUGUAGCGGCAAUAAGCAUAUAUGGUGGCUAACAUACGCAAGAGAGAGUUAGAAGAGAACCAACGGAGCGGUCGUCAUCUAGCAAUGACCAAGAAGUGAUCCUGAACUCCUACUUGCGUCAUACAUAACUCAGUCUGUGUUCACCUCCCGGACUCCGCCGAGAAGAGACCAUCACGGCUACACACGCAGUUGAUGCAUUUUAAUUGGGUCAAGUGACAAGUUCUCUACAACCGGACAUUAACAAAUUCCCAUUUGCCUCAUAACCGCGGGCACGGCUUUCGAAAGAUAAUACCCUGCAGGGGUGUCCCAACUUAGCCCAUCAUAAGCUCUCACGGUCAACGAAGGAUAAACCUUCUCCCGGAAUAACCCGAUCAGUUCGGAAUCCCGGUUUACAAGACAUCUCGACAAUGGUAAAACAAGACUAGCAAAGCCGCCCGAAUGUGCCGACAAAUCCCGAUAGGAGCUGCACAUAUCUCGUUCUCAGGGCACACCGGAUGAACACUACGUACAGCUAAAACCAAUCCUCGGGUUUCCCCAAGGUGGCGCUGCAAGUGGCCCUAGUUUGGACCAGCACUCAGAGGAACACUGGCCCGGGGGUUUAAUUAAAGAUGACCCUCGGGCUCGCGAAAACCCGGGGAAAAAGGCUUAGGCAGCAAAUGGUAAAACCAAAGUUGGGCCUUGCUGAAGGAGUUUUAUUCAAGGCGAACUGUCAAGGGGGUCCCAUAAAUCACCCGACCGCGUAAGGAACGCAAACUCAAGGAACAUAAUCCCGGUAUAUCAGUAACUAGGGCGGCAAGAGUGGAACAAAACACCAGGCAUAAGGCCGAGCCUUCCACCCUUUACCAAAAACAUAUAGAUGCAUUAAUUAAAUAAGAGAUAUUGUGAUAUCCCAACAUAUCCAUGUUCCAACAUGGAACAAACUUCAACUUCACCUGCAACUAGCAACGCUAUAAGAGGGGCUGAGCAAAAGCGGUAACUUAGCCAAACAACGGUUUGCUAGGAAAGGAUGGUUAGAGGCUGACAUGGCAAAUGGGAGACAUGAUAUAGCAAGUGAUAGGUAGCGUAGCAUGGCAAUAGAGCGAGCAACUAGCAAAGCAAAGAUAGAAGUGAUUUCGAGGGGUGGUCAUCUUGCCAGCAAGGUUCUCAGAGUUGUCGAAAGCUUGAUCCUCGUAAGCGUACUCAACAGGUUCCUCGUUCACGAACUCGUCUCCCGGCUCUACCCAAGACAAGAACACAAACAAACGGAACCACAAUCAACAACGAGAAAUGCACAAGCAACAUGAUGCAAAACAUGUAUGAUAUGCAAGAUAUGAUAUGCGAUGCAUAUGCGUGCUCCGGAAGGAAAAUGAUGAACAUGGCAGUAACUUGGCAAACCAAGCAUUCCACUGGAAAGAUGAGAUGAUUUCGGUCGAAAUCGAUAUAAAUAUCACCGGAAUCGGAUGCACGGUUUGCAAAUGGCAAGCAAAACAAGAAUGACACGAAUCUGCGAUAAACAGCAUGAUAGCACUUAAAAUGCAACAAGUAACAAUGCUACAGCACCCCAACAUAGCAACAAAGCAUAUGCCAGUAAUCUACAAGAGAUGCUUGACAAAAGAUGAACACUGAGCUACGGCUAGUUCACAACAUAUCAAGCUCAAACAAGCAUGGCAAAAGUUCAAAAGAUAACAGGUUCACAGACUCUGUGAAAAACUGGACAUGGCAGAAAACAGCAUUAGAUUGCAAUGUUCAGAGCACGAAAUCAACAUGCUACAGGAACUUAACAUAGCAAAAAAAGGCAUGACAGUGUUCUACUAAAUGCAAAUGACAAAAGUCCCUUACUGACCAUAAGCCAAAAAGUGCCAGAGGAUAUGAUGGCAAGCAUGUAAAGAUAGCACGUUUCGUUAUCAGGUUUCAGACUUAGCAGAAAACAGAGCAUGGCAGAAAUAAUAAUAUGUAGGCAUCUUUGUGAGCUUGAUGCACUCACUACAGAGCAAUGCAUGACAAACCAAGCAUACCUACAGCAAGAAGGCAUGUUUAUGAAGCUAUCCAUGGCAAGAACAAAAGCAUAGGAUAUAUGGAUCAACUACAAUAAGCUUGGAAAAAUUGCAUAUCAUGUUAAGAAUCUGCCAGAAAUAUUUUAUAGCAAACGUAGAGCAAGAUUGAGUCAUGCUAUGGCACUCCAUAAUUACAAACAAUUGCAGGAAUGGAUCAAUUACAACUAUAGCUACAAAACAUCUUUACUUAACAUCCCCAAAAUAUGCAUGGAUCUCUCUGUAGCAUCAAGUUUACAUGGCAACAAAAUAACAGUAGACAAAGACAGAGAAAUCACUAAGUCCCUGAAAUCAGAAACAUUACGGAGUCUACUUUGCAUGCUUGUGCUAGUUACCACAGAGAUCACAAAAAUACAUGGACUACACCACUGGAAAUAUGGCAUGGCAUACUUCAAAACAUAUGUAGAGCUCAUGCCCAUAAGAUGCACACGAGUCCACAUAUUCACCAUAUCAAUACACCACUAUUGAUCCGCUCCCGUCUCCCUACGAGAAGGCCAUCCAUAGCACUCACGCUUAUAUUGCGCAUUUAGAGUAUCCACUUUCACUUGUCUAUGAACUGUACAGGUAACCCAGAAGUCCUUUUCCACGGACAUGGCUAUUCGAAUAGACGAUGUUAACCCUGCAGGGGUGUACUUCUUCACACACGCUCUCGCCACUUACCACCAUGUACACGUCGUGUAUCUCGGCAACCUUCAAGCGGAAGCCUGGCGAGGGAGUCGGCCACGACCUGACUAACCACACAAGCCUCUAGUCCAGGUUUAUCGCCUAUUCGAGUUCCAUCCGCAAGGAGAUCCGGCCGGGGUGUCGCUCACGGCCCCAAACGAUGUGAGCAGGGUUCCCAAGCCCACCAUCCGGGUGCUACUUGGUACACCGUGCCACUGUGCCUAGUCUGUCCCAAGCCCACCUGUACCGGGUGCCACUUGGUAGACUACUAACACUACCUACAAACACCAUAAACUAGUUGCAACUCCUGGACAGAGAUCAAGUUGAUUAAUAAGUCGAGAGGGGCACUUAAGCAUUCCAAUGCGUGGUAGUAAUUGUUCAUGGAUCACAAACACAUAACUCAGUUCCUGAGGACGGCUGCAAUGAGACAACCCACCAUGUACUCCUACAUGGCCUCUCACCGCUACCCUUACCAAAUCGUGUUCACACACUUAGCUCUCAACAGUAGGACAUGUUCACAACUUUCCAAUUCAUCCUCGAUGAACCAGACCUGACUCAACUCUAAGAAGUAGCAGGCAUGACAACAAGCAUGAAUGAGUAGGCACAUCAGGGCUCAAACAACUCCUACUCAUGCUAGUGGGUUUCAUCUAUUUACUGUGGCAAUGACAGGUCAUGCAGAGAAAAGGGGUUCAGCUACCGCAGCAUUUAACAGUUGAAUCGUUGUUGUCCUAAUGCAGUAAAAGAGAGCAGGAGCGAGAGAGUGGGAUUGUAUCGGAAUGAACAAGGGGGUUUUGCUUGCCUGGCACUUCUGAAGAUAGCAUUGGGUCUUCAUCAGUGUCAACGAUCACAACAUCGGAACAGCGUCUACCGAGGGGGAACAACACCGGCAAACAGAGAAUAAACAAAUCAAUGCAAUGCACAAUAUGAUGCAUGAACAUGGCAUGUCAACAUGUUGUGAUUUGAGCUAAUGCAACUAGAACAGAAGGGUUUGAGCUUAUUUGAACCAAGGGUUCAAAUUCAAACUCAAGUUAUGAGCUCAUAUAAUGCAUUAUCAUGUUUUGAUCUAAGCAGCAAGGUUAAGUUGCUUUGUCAUGCAUGAAACUAGUAGCAAUGGAAAGAUUGGAUUUUUCUGAUCAUUUCUCAUAUAUAACUUAUUUCAUUUGGAGUUAAGGUUGAUUUUCUAUGAUUUUUAGAAGUUUUGGCUAUUUUCUGAAAUUAAUAAAUCAUUUCUGAUUUAUUUAAAAACCAGAAAACAGAUUACUGCGUCAGCUCUGGGUCACUGUGACGUCAGCAGGUCAAGGUCCCGGUCAAACCUGACUUGCAGGUCCCGCCUGUCAUGGACACAAGGGCUAACCCGUGGUUAGUUAGUGUUGCGGGGUCCACUGUCAUUGACUACGGUUAAACUAACUGAAUAAUUAGGCUAAAAUAAACCGCCCACGUCAUCGGGUUAACUCCGGCGAUGACCGGAGCACUGAGGUGCUGGCCGUCCGGCCGUUUCCCGCGACGGGGGCAAGCGUGCUUGGGGUCUUCAGGUCCAGCGCGACUCCGCGCGUCAGAGGGUGGCAGCGGCACGAGCUGUGGUGGCCGGAAACAUCGCCGGCGACGAGUUCAAGCCGCGGCGGCGGUCGGGCUAGCAUGGACACGCGGUUGCAGCUUGCAACUGAGCGAACGGAGUGGGGCAGGAGCAUCUACAGAGCAGCAGAAGCACAUUGGUGCCACAGGAGAGAGCUGAGGGGCUCGGGAGGACGGGAUCCAUCAGCCAUGGCAGCGGGGAGCUUCGGCGUCCGUGCAACUACGGCCUAGAGGACGCGGGUGAGCAUGGGAGAUGGGGGAAAAGGUGCGGGAUCUCACAGCGAACUCGUAGAGAUGCUCAGACUGCUCGGGGACGUCCUGGGUAUGGCGAAUCGACGACAGCCGUGGUCGGAUGUAGAGGACGAGGACGACGGCAUAGUUGGUGUUGCGGCGCGUCUCGUGAAGCGUCGCUUGGCGGAGACGACGAGCAGGUCAUGGAGGAGCUUCCAGAGAGGGAGAAGGGGCGCGGGGACAGCGGUGGCUACGGAAACGGCGGCGGUGCGCUCAUGGCCGGGUCGGCCAUGGGGAGGAACGACAGGGAGGCGAGGG